GGGUAUAGAAGGAACUAAAACACCUAAUUUGUGAAACUUCUCAUUCUUUCUACCAUAUUCUCUCAACCCUAACCAAUUUUGAACGCCGUUCGUCCAUGAUUCUUCAUCAGACUUCCAUCAUCAACCUAUUAAUUCGAAAUAUCUGUUCGUUUACUGCGGUGGAUUCUGGGAGUAAGGCCUUCGAGUUUUUGGGUCUGUAAGAUGUUGAAGAUUUUUCAACUCCGUUUGAUCAACCUCCAAUAGUGUUUAGCCAAUAAUUAUGCCAGAAGGUGAAAAACUGGAAGUUUGAUCAUCAGUAUUGCAAAUGGAAGCUUGAUCAUGGGAAGCAAAUGUUGCACGAGAGACAUUAGAAGAAUCGGAAGUAGUGGAAAGAUCAUAUGGUUCAAUAAUGUUGGAGACAUUAACAAUGAGUGAAGAUGGGUGAAUCGAUCAUCUUAUUCAAGUAAGAAUAGUGUCAGCAGACACCCGACUGAUGUUUUUUUAUGCUACAUCUGCUCAAGAGCCAGGUGUUAAGGUUUAAUAUUGCUCGUGCAGGGGGUGCAGCCCAUUUGCCAGGUUUCUAUCUACUGCUUCCAUUUUCAUCUUUAAAUUUAAUAAUCAUUAACACAUUAGUUAAGUUAUAAAGACAGUAAUGUUAACGCUAACCUAUGGUUAGGUAUAGUAGCUGCUCUGAUAAUAAUUAACAGAUUUUUGAAGAUAUAAAAGACCCAUCAAAGUGAACAAGUGACUAGGUUUAUGCAUCAAACAUCUAUAUUGUUUGGGGGUACGCACUUCACUUUUGCCUAAAAAGGGUAACUACGAUUUCAAUAUGCUCACAAAGGGUAAUUUUGGCAUAAGUAUGCUAUCUUUGUACGCCUUUUUUUCCGCCAGAGUGCUACUCUUUUGGUAAGUAGAAGUUAUGUUGGUAAGUAGAAGUUAUGUUUUUUUAUACGUUUUUUAAAGUAAUUUACCUUUUCUUGGGCAAAAGUGAAGUAAAUGCUCUCAGUUACAAUUGACCAACAAUGCAAUUUUUUCCAUUAAUUACAAACAAAAAACUGUAUUAUCAUAAAUAUCAUAUAGUUUCUUUUAAAUAAAACGGUUUAGAAUGUUGAAAGCAUUAGAGUAUUUAUUUGUUAGGUGACUUUUGAGUUGUUAACCUAUUUAACAUGUAUGAAAUUUAGCUAUUUUUUUUUCAUAGGUCACAUGUUUGACCUGUUAGGCUAGAGGGUAUGGUGAUGGUGCUCCAAGGGAGGAUGAUCCGCCACGUAGGCGCCACGUCAUAGUCCUCCCAAGGAUGGUCCAUCCCACAAAACUAGAGGGUAUGGAGGAUGGUCCUAGAUGAUCCUACCCCACCAAUUUUUUAUUUUUUAUUUUUUUAAUCUUCUAUUUUUUUAACAUUUAACAAAUAAAUUAACUAAAUAUUUUCAUUAAUAUUAAAAACACAUUACAUAAACUUAAAAAAGAAAACACAAACUUAAAAAAUAAAAAAACAUAGACUUAAAAAAUCAUAAACUUAAUAAAAAAAACACCCCACUGAUGAUAAAUACAUUUUGCAUUUUCCUUUCCAAUUUACAACUCUGCUAGUGCCACUGCCACUUUGCAUAUCAUUCUUCAUCCCCAAAACAUUACAUCCUCUCCUAAACCCUAACAUUUCACCAUCUCGCACAAAUUCUCCCUCUCGAUUGCACGUUUUCCGGUCAAAUCACAUGUAACUUCACCACUCUGCAUAUCAUUCUUCUUCCCCAAAACAUUUCAUCCUCUCCUAAACCCUAACAUUUCACCAUCUCGCACAAAUUCUCCCUCUCGAUUGCACGUUUUCCGAUCAAAUCACAGGUAACUUCACCGUAUUGUUCUCCUCUUUGUUGAUUUCUUUUAAAUAAAAACUGGAAUUUAAUUUUUUUUAUUAUUAACGGUCAAAAAGUGAAGGGCCCCACCAAAUUAGCAUCGUCGCCAACGUCCAAAUGCUGCCCGAGAUGACGGGGACGUGGGGGGCGGGAUGGUUUUGAAGGCGGCGCCGGACCUCGACGGUAUGGGGACGUCCCCCAUACCGCAUAGCCUUAUUAAACAUAUACAAUCUCAAUGGGCCUAUUUUCAUUAUAAUUGGGCAAAAAGUGCCAUAUAUAAUAAUAUCUAUCUUCUUGCUAAACAUGGCAUGUCUAUGCUUCUUUUGACAAGUAUGUGGAGGUUGAACAACUUGAAGGUAAUUUUCAUCUGGGAUUUUGUUUGAUUUAUGAUGUUCUUGAAUAGUUUUUGACUUUUGAAAAAUGCAGGCUGAUUUGAAAGAUUUGAUGCUGGUUUCUGCAUAGAUCUUCAUGAUGAUUUGAACUUUUGGUUGGGUUGCAUAUGAUUCUUUUAUGCAGCAUGAUGUUCAAGAACUCAAUAGUGUUCUUUGUGAGAAAUUUGAAGAUAAAAUAAAAGGAACUCUUUUGGAAGGCCCAAUUCAACAAUUAUUGGAAGGCCAUCAUAUGAACUACACUGUGUGCAUAAAUGUAGACUGCAAAUCAACAAGGACGAAAUCAUUUUAUGGGAGAAUUGCAUAAAAUGGUAAAUUGGUCAUGUACCAAGGACAAUGUUUACUUGGGGGCAUGCACUUCACUUUUGUCUAAUAAAGCGUAAGUAUGAUUUCAAUAUGUUCACAAAGGGUAAUCUUGGCAUAAGUAUGCUAUCUUUGUACGCCUUUUUUCAGCCAGAGUGCUACUCUUUUGGUAAGUAGAAUUCAGUUUUUUUUUUACGUUUUUAAAAGUAAUUUACCUUUUCUUGGGCAAAAGUGAAGUAAAUGCUCUCAGUUACAAUUGACCAACUAUGCAAUUUUUUCCAUUAAUUACAAAUAAAAAACUGUAUUAUCAUAAAUAUCAUAUAAUCUCUUUUAAAUAAAACGGUUUAGAAUGUUGAAAGCAUUAGAAUAUUUAUUUGUUAGGUAACUUUUGAGUUGUUAACCAGAGUGAAGUAAAUAUU